GGGUUGUGAGGUUAAGCGACUAAGCGUACACGGUGGAUGCCCUGGCAGUCAGAGGCGAUGAAGGACGUGCUAAUCUGCGAUAAGCGUCGGUAAGGUGAUAUGAACCGUUAUAACCGGCGAUUUCCGAAUGGGGAAACCCAGUGUGUUUCGACACACUAUCAUUAACUGAAUCCAUAGGUUAAUGAGGCGAACCGGGGGAACUGAAACAUCUAAGUACCCCGAGGAAAAGAAAUCAACCGAGAUUCCCCCAGUAGCGGCGAGCGAACGGGGAGCAGCCCAGAGCCUGAAUCAGUGUGUGUGUUAGUGGAAGCGUCUGGAAAGGCGCGCGAUACAGGGUGACAGCCCCGUACACAAAAAUGCACAUGCUGUGAGCUCGAUGAGUAGGGCGGGACACGUGGUAUCCUGUCUGAAUAUGGGGGGACCAUCCUCCAAGGCUAAAUACUCCUGACUGACCGAUAGUGAACCAGUACCGUGAGGGAAAGGCGAAAAGAACCCCGGCGAGGGGAGUGAAAAAGAACCUGAAACCGUGUACGUACAAGCAGUGGGAGCACGCUUAGGCGUGUGACUGCGUACCUUUUGUAUAAUGGGUCAGCGACUUAUAUUCUGUAGCAAGGUUAACCGAAUAGGGGAGCCGAAGGGAAACCGAGUCUUAACUGGGCGUUAAGUUGCAGGGUAUAGACCCGAAACCCGGUGAUCUAGCCAUGGGCAGGUUGAAGGUUGGGUAACACUAACUGGAGGACCGAACCGACUAAUGUUGAAAAAUUAGCGGAUGACUUGUGGCUGGGGGUGAAAGGCCAAUCAAACCGGGAGAUAGCUGGUUCUCCCCGAAAGCUAUUUAGGUAGCGCCUCGUGAAUUCAUCUCCGGGGGUAGAGCACUGUUUCGGCAAGGGGGUCAUCCCGACUUACCAACCCGAUGCAAACUGCGAAUACCGGAGAAUGUUAUCACGGGAGACACACGGCGGGUGCUAACGUCCGUCGUGAAGAGGGAAACAACCCAGACCGCCAGCUAAGGUCCCAAAGUCAUGGUUAAGUGGGAAACGAUGUGGGAAGGCCCAGACAGCCAGGAUGUUGGCUUAGAAGCAGCCAUCAUUUAAAGAAAGCGUAAUAGCUCACUGGUCGAGUCGGCCUGCGCGGAAGAUGUAACGGGGCUAAACCAUGCACCGAAGCUGCGGCAGCGACGCUUAUGCGUUGUUGGGUAGGGGAGCGUUCUGUAAGCCUGUGAAGGUGUACUGUGAGGUAUGCUGGAGGUAUCAGAAGUGCGAAUGCUGACAUAAGUAACGAUAAAGCGGGUGAAAAGCCCGCUCGCCGGAAGACCAAGGGUUCCUGUCCAACGUUAAUCGGGGCAGGGUGAGUCGACCCCUAAGGCGAGGCCGAAAGGCGUAGUCGAUGGGAAACAGGUUAAUAUUCCUGUACUUGGUGUUACUGCGAAGGGGGGACGGAGAAGGCUAUGUUGGCCGGGCGACGGUUGUCCCGGUUUAAGCGUGUAGGCUGGUUUUCCAGGCAAAUCCGGAAAAUCAAGGCUGAGGCGUGAUGACGAGGCACUACGGUGCUGAAGCAACAAAUGCCCUGCUUCCAGGAAAAGCCUCUAAGCAUCAGGUAACAUCAAAUCGUACCCCAAACCGACACAGGUGGUCAGGUAGAGAAUACCAAGGCGCUUGAGAGAACUCGGGUGAAGGAACUAGGCAAAAUGGUGCCGUAACUUCGGGAGAAGGCACGCUGAUAUGUAGGUGAAGUCCCUCGCGGAUGGAGCUGAAAUCAGUCGAAGAUACCAGCUGGCUGCAACUGUUUAUUAAAAACACAGCACUGUGCAAACACGAAAGUGGACGUAUACGGUGUGACGCCUGCCCGGUGCCGGAAGGUUAAUUGAUGGGGUCAGCGCAAGCGAAGCUCUUGAUCGAAGCCCCGGUAAACGGCGGCCGUAACUAUAACGGUCCUAAGGUAGCGAAAUUCCUUGUCGGGUAAGUUCCGACCUGCACGAAUGGCGUAAUGAUGGCCAGGCUGUCUCCACCCGAGACUCAGUGAAAUUGAACUCGCUGUGAAGAUGCAGUGUACCCGCGGCAAGACGGAAAGACCCCGUGAACCUUUACUAUAGCUUGACACUGAACAUUGAGCCUUGAUGUGUAGGAUAGGUGGGAGGCUUUGAAGUGUGGACGCCAGUCUGCAUGGAGCCGACCUUGAAAUACCACCCUUUAAUGUUUGAUGUUCUAACGUUGACCCGUAAUCCGGGUUGCGGACAGUGUCUGGUGGGUAGUUUGACUGGGGCGGUCUCCUCCUAAAGAGUAACGGAGGAGCACGAAGGUUGGCUAAUCCUGGUCGGACAUCAGGAGGUUAGUGCAAUGGCAUAAGCCAGCUUGACUGCGAGCGUGACGGCGCGAGCAGGUGCGAAAGCAGGUCAUAGUGAUCCGGUGGUUCUGAAUGGAAGGGCCAUCGCUCAACGGAUAAAAGGUACUCCGGGGAUAACAGGCUGAUACCGCCCAAGAGUUCAUAUCGACGGCGGUGUUUGGCACCUCGAUGUCGGCUCAUCACAUCCUGGGGCUGAAGUAGGUCCCAAGGGUAUGGCUGUUCGCCAUUUAAAGUGGUACGCGAGCUGGGUUUAGAACGUCGUGAGACAGUUCGGUCCCUAUCUGCCGUGGGCGCUGGAGAACUGAGGGGGGCUGCUCCUAGUACGAGAGGACCGGAGUGGACGCAUCACUGGUGUUCGGGUUGUCAUGCCAAUGGCACUGCCCGGUAGCUAAAUGCGGAAGAGAUAAGUGCUGAAAGCAUCUAAGCACGAAACUUGCCCCGAGAUGAGUUCUCCCUGACUCCUUGAGAGUCCUGAAGGAACGUUGAAGACGACGACGUUGAUAGGCCGGGUGUGUAAGCGCAGCGAUGCGUUGAGCUAACCGGUACUAAUGAACCGUGAGGCUUAACCUUACAACGCCGAAGCUGUU
rnacentral:rRNA from 1 species